rnacentral:rRNA from 1 species
GAUGAACGCUAGCGGCGUGCCUAAUACAUGCAAGUCGAACGAGGUGCUUGAGUAGCAAUACAAGAGUAUCCUAGUGGCGAACGGGUGAGUAACGCGUGGGUGACCUGCCCCGAAGUGUGGGAUAACAGUCCGAAAGGAUUGCUAAUACCUCAUGUGGUUAUCGGAUUUAGAAACUGAUAACUAAAGCAGCAAUGCGCUUUGGGAGGGACCUGCGUCCCAUCAGCUAGUUGGUGAGGUAAUGGCUCACCAAGGCUACGACGGGUAGGGGACCUGAGAGGGUGGCCCCCCACAAUGGAACUGAAACACGGUCCAUACACCUACGGGUGGCAGCAGUAGGGAAUAUUGCACAAUGGGCGAAAGCCUGAUGCAGCAACGCCGCGUGUGCGAUGAAGGCCUUCGGGUCGUAAAGCACUUUUCUGAGAGAUGAGAAAGGACAGUACCUCAGGAAUAAGGUCUCGGCGUAACUACGUGCCAGCAGCCGCGGUAAAGUGUAG